rnacentral:misc_RNA from 1 species
AAGUCGUAACAAGGUCUCCGUAGGUGAACCUGCGGAGGGAUCAUUAACACGUAUCCAAACACGUUCAAACCCAAAACGGUCUCCUAUGAUCCCAUAGAGGGAGGUGUACUCGUAAGCCACAGAUGGAUUUCUUUAGUAAGGGGUAACUCUUAUUAAAGGUCUGCUUGCAGUCUAUCGGUCCUUUGAGGCCAGCCGAUUCUCUAUGGCGUAUUAAAGCCAUCUGGUUACUAGUGCCACCCUGGUUUCGACCCAGAGCCUAGUAGCCUUAUUAAACCCCCAUUUUUUAACCCCUUUCUUUUAACUAAACUAACUGAUUUUUACUUUUUCCUUGACCGAAAGGUUGGAAAAGUGUAUACGAAACGCGAACAACUCUUAGCAAUGGAUAUCUUGGUUCUC